AAUAUUGGACAAUGGGCGAAAGCCUGAUCCAGCCAUGCCGCGUGUGUGAAGAAGGCCUUCGGGUCGUAAAGCUCUGUUGUUAGGGAAGAACAAGUAUCGGAGUAACUGCCGGUACCUUGACGGUACCUAACCAGAAAGCCACGGCUAACUACGUGCCAGCAGCCGCGGUAAUACGUAGGUGGCAAGCGUUGUCCGGAAUUAUUGGGCGUAAAGCGCGCGCAGGCGGUCUCUUAAGUCUGAUGUGAAAGCCCCCGGCUCAACCGGGGAGGGUCAUUGGAAACUGGGAGACUUGAGUGCAGAAGAGAAGAGCGGAAUUCCACGUGUAGCGGUGAAAUGCGUAGAGAUGUGGAGGAACACCAGUGGCGAAGGCGGCUCUUUGGUCUGUAACUGACGCUGAGGCGCGAAAGCGUGGGGAGCAAACAGG
rnacentral:rRNA from 1 species